AGCAGCCGCGGUAAUUCCAGCUCCAAUAGCGUAUAUUAAAGUUGUUGCAGUUAAAAAGCUCGUAGUUGAAUUUCGGGAUCAAUCUAUCGGUCGUGCAAUUGUACGUACUGAUUUUAUUGAUUCCUCCCUUCUGAUGAACUAUGAUGUCAUUAAUUUGGUGUCAUAGGGAAUCAGGACUGUUACUUUGAAAAAAUUAGAGUGUUUAAAGCAGGCUCACGCUUGAAUACAUUAGCAUGGAAUAACGGAAUAGGACGUUUGAUUCUAUUUUGUUGGUUUCUAGGAUCGACGUAAUGAUUAAUAGGGAUAGUUGGGGGCAUUAGUAUUCAAUUGUCAGAGGUGAAAUUCUUGGAUUUAUUGAAGACUAACUACUGCGAAAGCAUUUGCCAAGGAUGUUUUCAUUAAUCAAGAACGAAAGUUAGGGGAUCGAAGACGAUCAGAUACCGUCGUAGUCUUAACCAUAAACUAUGCCGACUAGGGAUCGGAUGAUGUUAAUUUUUUAAUGACUCA
rnacentral:rRNA from 1 species